rnacentral:misc_RNA from 1 species
AACGCACAUUGCGCCCUCUGGUAUUCCGGAGGGCACGCCCGUCCGAGCGUCAUUUCUACCUCAAGCUUUGGGCUUGUUGUUGGGCACCGCCCGCGAGGGCGCGCCUCAAAUCCAUCGGCGCCUCCGAGGGGCCCCUGAACGCAUAGAGCCUAACCGCCCGCGUUCGGCGGUCCGUUAGGGGGCCGCCCUCCUGCGAGAGCGCAGUCAUGUACCGUAUGGCCUCGGAUCGGGCGGGGUUACCCGCUGAACUUAA